GAUGAACGCUGGCGGCGUGCCUAAUACAUGCAAGUCGAGCGAACAGAUGAGGAUCUUGCUCCUCUGACGUUAGCGGCGGACGGGUGAGUAACACGUGGAUAACCUACCUAUAAGACUGGGAUAACUUCGGGAAUCCGGAGCUAAUACCGGAUAAUAUAUUGAACCGCAUGGUGCAAUAGUGAAAUACGGUUUUGCUGUCACUUAUAGAUGGAUCCGCGCCGCAUUAGCUAGUUGGUAAGGUAACGGCUUACCAAGGCAACGAUGCGUAGCCGACCUGACAGGGUGAUCGGCCACACGGGAAGUGAGCCGCGGUCCAGACUCCUGCGGGAGGCAGCAGUCGGGAAUCGGACGCAAUGGGCGAAAGCCUGACGGAGCAACGCGGCGUGAGUGAUGACGGUCCUCGGAUCGUAAAACUCUGUUAUUAGGGAAGAACAAAUGUGUAAGUAACUAUGCCCGUCUUGACGGUACCUAAUCAGAAAGCCACGGCUAACUACGUG
rnacentral:rRNA from 1 species